rnacentral:rRNA from 1 species
GACAGAGGAUGCAAGCGUUAUCCGGAAUUAUUGGGCGUAAAGCGUCUGUAGGUGGCUUUUUAAGUCUGCCGUCAAAUCCCAGGGCUUAACCCUGGACAGGCGGUGGAAACUACCAAGCUGGAGUACGGUAGGGGCAGGGGGAAUUUCCGGUGGAGCGGUGAAAUGCGUAGAGAUCGGAAAGAACACCAACGGCGAAAGCACUCUGCUGGGCCGACACUGACACUGAGAGACGAAAGCUAGGGGAGCGAAUGGG